rnacentral:rRNA from 1 species
UACGGGGGGGCGAAGCGUUGUUCGGAUUCAUUGGGCGUAAAGGGCGCGUAGGCUGCGGGGUAAGUCGGGUGUGAAAUCUCAGAGCUCAACUCUGAAACUGCACUCGAUACUGCUUUGCUUGAGGACUGGAGAGGAGAUUGGAAUUCACGGUGUAGCAGUGAAAUGCGUAGAUAUCGUGAGGAAGACCAGUGGCGAAGGCGGAUCUCUGGACAGUUCCGUGACCGCUGAGGCGCGAAGGCCAGGGGAGCAAACGGG